rnacentral:rRNA from 1 species
GACGAACGCUGGCGGCGUGCUUAACACAUGCAACUCGAACGGAAAGGCCCUGCUUUUGUGGGGUGCUCGAGUGGCGAACGGGUGAGUAACACGUGAGUAACCUGCCCUUGACUUUGGGAUAACUUCAGGACACUGGGGCUAAUACCGGAUAGGAGCUCCUGCUGCAUGGUGGGGGUUGGAAAGUUUCGGCGGCUGGGGAUGGACUCGCGGCUUAUCAGCUUGUUGGUGGGGUAGUGGCUUACCAAGGCUUUGACGGGUAGCCGGCCUGAGAGGGUGACCGGCCACAUUGGGACUGAGGUACGGCCCAGACUCCUACGGGAGGCAGCAGUGGGGAAUAUUGCACAAUGGGCGGAAGCCUGACGCAGCAACGCCGCGUGCGGGAUGACGGCCUUCGGGUUGUAACCCGCUUUCGCCUGUGACGAAGCGUGAGUGACGGUAAUGGGUAAAGAAGCACCGGCUAACUACGUG